rnacentral:rRNA from 1 species
UACGGAGGGUGCGAGCGUUGUCCGGAAUUACUGGGCGUAAAGCGUGCGCAGGCGGUUAUUUAAGUCAGGUGUGAAAGCCCUGGGCUUAACCUAGGAACUGCCUUUGAUACUGCAAGUCUCGAGUCCGAUAGAGGUGGGUGGAAUUCCUAGUGUAGAGGUGAAAUUCGUAGAUAUUCGGAAGAACACCAGUGGCGAAGGCGGCUCACUGGUCCGGUACUGACGCUGAGGUGCGAAAGCGUGGGGAGCAAACAGG